AUGCUCAAAAUUCUCCAAGCCAGGCUUCAGCAAUACGUGAACCGUGAACUUCCAGAUGUUCAAGCUGGUUUUAGAAAAGGCAGAGGAACCAGAGAUCAAAUUGCCAACAUCUGCUGGAUCAUCGAAAAAACAAGAGAGUUACAGAAAAACAUCUAUUUCUCCUUUAUUGACUAUGCCAAACCCUUUGACUGUGUGGAUCACAAUAAACAGUGGAAAAUUCUGAAAGAGAUGGGAAUACCAGACCACCUGAUCUGCCUCUUGAGAAAUCUGUAUGCAGGUCAGGAAGCAACAGUUAGAACUGGACAUGGAACAACAGACUGGUUCCAAGUAGAAAAAGGAGUAUGUCAAGGCUGUAUAUUGUCACCCUGCUUAUUUAACUUAUAUGCAGAUUACAUCAUGAGAAACGCUGGGCUGGAAGAAGCACAAGCUGGAAUCAAGAUUGCUGGGAGAAAUAUCAAUAACCUCAGAUAUGCAGAUGACACCACCCUUAAGGCAGAAAGUGAAGAGGAACUAAAAAGCCUCUUGAUGAAAGUGAAAGUGGAGAGUGAAAAAGUUGGCUUAAAUCUCCACAUUCAGAAACCAAAGAUCAUGGCAUCUGAUCCCAUCACUUCAUGGGAAAUAGAUAUGGAAACAGUGGCUGAAUUUAUUUUGGGGGGCUCCAAAAUCACUGCAGAUGGUGACUGCAGCCUUGAAAUUAAAAGACACUUACUCCUUGGAAGGAAAGUUAUGACCAACCUAGAUAGCAUAUUGAAAAGCAGAGAUAUUACUUUUCCGACUAAGGUCGGUCUAGUCAAGGCUAUGGUUUUUCCAGUGGUCAUGUAUGGAUGUGAGAGUUGGACUGUGAAGAAAGCUGAACACCAAAGAAUUGAUGCUUUUGAACUGUGGUGUUGGACGAGACUCUUGAGAGUCCCUUGGACUGCAAGGAGAUCCAACCAGUCCAUUCUAAAGGAGAUCAGUCCUGAGUGUUCUUUGGAAGGACUGAUGCUAAAGCUUCAACUCCAGUACUUUGGCCACCUCAUGAGAAGAGUUGGCUCAUUGGAAAAGACUCUGAUGCUGGGAGGGAUUAGGGGCAGGAGGAAAAAGGGAAGACAGAAGGUGAGAUGGCUGGAUAACAUCACCGACUCGAUGGACCUGAGUUUGGGUGAACUCCGGGAGUUGGUGAUGGACAGGGAAGCCUGGCAUGCUAUAAUUCAUUGGGUCACAAAGAGUCCGACAUGA
rnacentral:lncRNA from 1 species